rnacentral:rRNA from 1 species
GACGAACGCUGGCGGCGUGCUUAACACAUGCAAGUCGAACGGAAAGGCCUUUUCGGAGGUACUCGAGUGGCGAACGGGUGAGUAACACGUGGGUGAUCUGCCCUGCACUCUGGGAUAAGCCUGGGAAACUGGGUCUAAUACCGGAUAGGACCGCACUUUAGUGUGUGUGGUGGAAAGUUUUUUCGGUGUAGGAUGAGCCCGCGGCCUAUCAGCUUGUUGGUGGGGUAAUGGCCUACCAAGGCGGCGACGGGUAGCCGGACUGAGAGGUUGGUCGGCCACAUUGGGACUGAGAUACGGCCCAGACUCCUACGGGAGGCAGCAGUGGGGAAUAUUGCACAAUGGGCGCAAGCCUGAUGCAGCGACGCCGCGGGGGGGAGGACGGCCUUCGGGUUGUAAACUCCUUUCGCCAGGGACGAAGCGUUUUGUGACGGUACCUGGAGAAGAAGCACCGGCUAACUACGUG